UGAUGAAAAACGAGCAGUAAAACCUCUACAGGCUUGUAGCUCAGGUGGUUAGAGCGCACCCCUGAUAAGGGUGAGGUCGGUGGUUCAAGUCCACUCAGGCCUACCAGAUUUUCCCUGAAUACUGCGUUGUGAAAUAACUCACAUACUGAUGUAUGCUUCGUUAUUCCACGCCUUGUCUCAGGAAAAAUUAUCGGUAAAGAGGUUCUGACUACACGAUGGGGCUAUAGCUCAGCUGGGAGAGCGCCUGCUUUGCACGCAGGAGGUCUGCGGUUCGAUCCCGCAUAGCUCCACCAUCUCGUGAGUGUUUACGAAAAAAUACUUCAGAGUGUACCUGAAAGGGUUCACUGCGAAGUUUUGCUCUUUAAAAAUCUGGAUCAAGCUGAAAAUUGAAACACAGAACAACGAAAGUUGUUCGUGAGUCUCUCAAAUUNUGAGGGAAAGGCGAAAAGAACCCCGGCGAGGGGAGUGAAAAAGAACCUGAAACCGUGUACGUACAAGCAGUGGGAGCCCCACCACUAAGCCAGUGGUGAACUCCACAUACGCAUCCUUUGCUGAGGAUACGGUUAACGGAGCGAAAGCGACGUUCAACCUCAAAAGAAGCAGAGGGGGCUUAGUGGUGGGGUGACUGCGUACCUUUUGUAUAAUGGGUCAGCGACUUAUAUUCUGUAGCAAGGUUAACCGAAUAGGGGAGCCGGAGGNGUGACUGCGUACCUUUUGUAUAAUGGGUCAGCGACUUAUAUUCUGUAGCAAGGUUAACCGAAUAGGGGAGCCGGAGGGAAACCGAGUCUUAAUUGGGCGUUAAGUUGCAGGGUAUAGACCCGAAACCCGGUGAUCUAGCCAUGGGCAGGUUGAAGGUUGGGUAACACUAACUGGAGGACCGAACCGACUAAUGUUGAAAAAUUAGCGGAUGACCUGUGGCUGGGGGUGAAAGGCCAAUCAAACCGGGAGAUAGCUGGUUCUCCCCGAAAGCUAUUUAGGUAGCGCCUCGUGAAUUCAUCUCCGGGGGUAGAGCACUGUUUCGGCUAGGGGGCCAUCCCGGCUUACCAACCCGAUGCAAACUGCGAAUACCGGAGAAUGUUAUUACGGGAGACACACGGCGGGUGCUAACGUCCGUCGUGAAGAGGGAAACAACCCAGACCGCCAGCUAAGGUCCCAAAGUCAUGGUUAAGUGGGAAACGAUGUGGGAAGGCCCAGACAGCCAGGAUGUUGGCUUAGAAGCAGCCAUCAUUUAAAGAAAGCGUAAUAGCUCACUGGUCGAGUCGGCCUGCGCGGAAGAUGUAACGGGGCUAAACCAUGCACCGAAGCUGCGGCAGCGAGUAAUAGCUCACUGGUCGAGUCGGCCUGCGCGGAAGAUGUAACGGGGCUAAACCAUGCACCGAAGCUGCGGCAGCGAACGUAUCACUUAAAGCGAUUCAGCGGGUUACGAUUGACGGAGCGAAGCGACGUCAAAGCGUAUACAAAGUCGAGUCGGUUUAAGGAUACGUUCGUUGGGUAGGGGAGCGUUCUGUAAGCCUGUGAAGGUGGCCUGUGAGGGUUGCUGGAGGUAUCAGAAGUGCGAAUGCUGACAUAAGUAACGAUAAAGCGGGUGAAAAGCCCGCUCGCCGGAAGACCAAGGGUUCCUGUCCAACGUUAAUCGGGGCAGGGUGAGUCGACCCCUAAGGCGAGGCCGAAAGGCGUAGUCGAUGGGAAACGGGUUAAUAUUCCCGUACUUGGUGUUACUGCGAAGGGGGGACGGAGAAGGCUAUGUUGGCCGGGCGACGGUUGUCCCGGUUUAAGCGUGUAGGUGUGUGUUCCAGGUAAAUCCGGUUCACUUUAACACUGAGGCGUGACGACGAGGCACUACGGUGCUGAAGCAACAAAUGCCCUGCUUCCAGGAAAAGCCUCUAAGCAUCAGGUAACAUCAAAUCGUACCCCAAACCGACACAGGUGGUCAGGUAGAGAAUACCAAGGCGCUUGAGAGAACUCGGGUGAAGGAACUAGGCAAAAUGGUGCCGUAACUUCGGGAGAAGGCACGCUGACACGUAGGUGAAGUGAUUUACUCACGGAGCUGAAGUCAGUCGAAGAUACCAGCUGGCUGCAACUGUUUAUUAAAAACACAGCACUGUGCAAACACGAAAGUGGACGUAUACGGUGUGACGCCUGCCCGGUGCCGGAAGGUUAAUUGAUGGGGUCAGCGCAAGCGAAGCUCCUGAUCGAAGCCCCGGUAAACGGCGGCCGUAACUAUAACGGUCCUAAGGUAGCGAAAUUCCUUGUCGGGUAAGUUCCGACCUGCACGAAUGGCGUAAUGAUGGCCAGGCUGUCUCCACCCGAGACUCAGUGAAAUUGAACUCGCUGUGAAGAUGCAGUGUACCCGCGGCAAGACGGAAAGACCCCGUGAACCUUUACUAUAGCUUGACACUGAACAUUGAGCCUUGAUGUGUAGGAUAGGUGGGAGGCUUUGAAGUGUGGACGCCAGUCUGCAUGGAGCCGACCUUGAAAUACCACCCUUUAAUGUUUGAUGUUCUAACGUGGACCCGUAAUCCGGGUUGCGGACAGUGUCUGGUGGGUAGUUUGACUGGGGCGGUCUCCUCCUAAAGAGUAACGGAGGAGCACGAAGGUUGGCUAAUCCUGGUCGGACAUCAGGAGGUUAGUGCAAUGGCAUAAGCCAGCUUGACUGCGAGCGUGACGGCGCGAGCAGGUGCGAAAGCAGGUCAUAGUGAUCCGGUGGUUCUGAAUGGAAGGGCCAUCGCUCAACGGAUAAAAGGUACUCCGGGGAUAACAGGCUGAUACCGCCCAAGAGUUCAUAUCGACGGCGGUGUUUGGCACCUCGAUGUCGGCUCAUCACAUCCUGGGGCUGAAGUAGGUCCCAAGGGUAUGGCUGUUCGCCAUUUAAAGUGGUACGCGAGCUGGGUUUAGAACGUCGUGAGACAGUUCGGUCCCUAUCUGCCGUGGGCGCUGGAGAACUGAGGGGGGCUGCUCCUAGUACGAGAGGACCGGAGUGGACGCAUCACUGGUGUUCGGGUUGUCAUGCCAAUGGCACUGCCCGGUAGCUAAAUGCGGAAGAGAUAAGUGCUGAAAGCAUCUAAGCACGAAACUUGCCCCGAGAUGAGUUCUCCCUGAGACUUAGAGUCUCCUGAAGGAACGUUGAAGACGACGACGUUGAUAGGCCGGGUGUGUAAGCGCAGCGAUGCGUUGAGCUAACCGGUACUAAUGAACCGUGAGGCUUAACC
rnacentral:rRNA from 1 species